GCGCAGGAAAAGAAACCAACAGGGAUUGCCUUAGUAACUGCGAGUGGAGCGGCAAAAGCUCAAAUUUGAAAUCUGGCGUCUUCGGCGUCCGAGUUGUAAUUUGGAGAGAUUUCUUCGGGGUGAACACCGGUCCAAGUUCCUUGGAACAGGACGUCACAGAGGGUGAGAAUCCCGUGUCUGACCGGUUGCUUCAUUCCAUGUGAAGAGUCUUCGACGAGUCGAGUUGUUUGGGAAUGCAGCUCAAAAUGGGUGGUUAAUUUCAUCUAAAGCUAAAUAUUGGCGAGAGACCGAUAGCGCACAAGUAGAGUGAUCGAAAGAUGAAAAGCACUUUGAAAAGAGAGUUAAAAAGUACGUGAAAUUGUUGAAAGGGAAGCGCUUGAGACCAGACUCAAUUUGUGGUGAACAUCAGUCCUUCUGGGCUGUGCACUUGCCACUUUUUGGGCCAGCAUCGGUUCUGACCGUGUGAUAAAGGUCCUGGGAAUGUAGCUCCUCUCGGGGAGUGUUAUAGCCCAGGGCGUAAUGACAUGAGUUGGGACCGAGGACCGCGCUUCGGCUAGGAUGCUGGCAUAAUGGUCUUCAGCGACCCGUCUUGAAACACGGACCAAGGAGUCUAACAUCUAUGCGAGUGUUCGGGUGGAAAACCCUUGCGCGUAAUGAAAGUGAACGGAGGUG
rnacentral:rRNA from 1 species